UCAAGGCAUGGGAUUUAUUUUGAAAAGCACAUGACGGGAUUUUAAAAGCCCAUAUCUUGAUUAAUAGAUCUGGGCCGUCUAUCUUAGAAUUGUAUCAAACCAAUACACACCAUAUAGUUUCUUGGAUGGCAGAAAACCUAAUUUUCAUUCCACAUCCCAACAUCAAGUGAAAGUUUUCUUUGUUCGACUCUUUGACUGGCGCGCUCUCUCUCAAUAUUUGGCAACACGAAGGAUGGGAAUGUAAGUCUCUUCUUCUUCUACAUACAGAAUGUGUCUAGAAUCUUGUAGAUGAGGAAGAUUAAUGGGAAGAAUGGGAAGAUGGAGAUUCAAAGGAUGGAGAAGAGGAAGUCAUUGAUGGAUAUAAAACAAAUGAUGAUGAAGACAGAGCAAUUGGUGAUAAUGAUGACUAUCAGGCGUGAAUGAUUACAUAUUUUGAUUGCUAGUUUGCUACUAUGCGCUUUAUUAUUUUCAAAACCAAACCUUAGACAUUAGUUUAUGUUGGAAUAUAGACGUUAUGUUUUGCUAGGCUAAGCGAGCCAAUUUUAGGUCUAAUUACAAUGAACGGGGGAGAGGGGACAACAGAGAGUGUGAACCCCGGAGGGCACUUCAUCACCCUACAAUCUUCGAUAUUUUAUGAGUUGGAACUAUGAUAUUUAGUGAUUGUCAUUUUAAAUAUCAUAUUUCAUGAUACAUGGUGAUUUAGAACUUGAUGAAGUAUGAGAAAUUUUGUCUAUAUUACCAUUCCACUAAUUUUCUCUAACUUGUGCUUCACUUCAAUGAGACGCGUGUUUGGAUAUGAUCAUUUCAGUUAAGUGAAACACCGCCACCGCCACCUCUCACCACCCCUAGCCUCACAACUAAGUGAAACAC
rnacentral:lncRNA from 1 species